rnacentral:lncRNA from 1 species
GAUAAUAUGUGCAAGAAUAGUAAAUUUCAUAAAAGUAAAGAGCAAAAAGUAAAUGUUAAUGGUUAAUGGUUAGUGUUAGUAGUUAGUGUGCCAUAAGGCAAAUUUAGCGCUAUGUUAAGCAAUCGUAAUUGGACUUAUGUAGAAGUCACAACUAUCUGAGGCCGGUCAAUAAUAAUGUAGGAAACAACACAAGUUAGAAGUCUUGAUUAGUGAACCAAGUU